rnacentral:rRNA from 1 species
UACAGAGGGGGCAAGCGUUGUUCGGAAUUACUGGGCGUAAAGGGCCCGUAGGCGGCCCACUAAGUCGGAUGUGAAAUCCCCAGGCUUAACCUGGGAACUGCAUCCGAUACUGGAUGGCUUGAAUUCGGGAGAGGGAUGCAGAAUUCCAGGUGUAGCGGUGAAAUGCGUAGAUAUCUGGAGGAAUACCGGUGGCGAAGGCGGCAUCCUGGACCGACAUUGACGCUGAACGGCGAAAGCUAGGGGAGCAAACGGG